rnacentral:tRNA from 1 species
UCUUAUAAGUACUAAGUACAGUUGUUUUCCAAACAAAAAGUAAAUUAAUAAAAUAUGAGAU